rnacentral:rRNA from 1 species
CCUACGGGAGGCAGCAGUGGGGAAUCUUCCGCAAUGGGCGAAAGCCUGACGGAGCAACGCCGCGUGAUCGAAUGAAGGCCUUCGGGUUGUAAAGAUCUGUUGACAGGGACGAAUAAGCUAUGCAAAUAGUAUUGUGUAUGACGGUACUUGUUUAGAAAGCUCUGACUAACUACGUGCCAGCAGCCGCGGUCAUACGUAGGGAGCAUGCGUUGUCCGGAAUUACUGGGCGUAAAGGGCGCGUAGGUGGGCGCUUAAGUCAGGGGUGAAAGCUCCGGGCUCAACCUGUAGACUGCACUUGAAACUGGGUGUCGUGAGGGCAGGAGAGGAGAGUGGAAGUCCUGGUGUAGCGGUGAAAUGCGUAGAUAUUAUGAAGAACACCAGUUGCGAAGGCGACUUUCUGGACUGUACCUGACGCUGAGGCGCGAAAGCGUGGGUAGCGAACGGGAUUAGAUACCCUAGUAGUC